AGCAAAGUCCCAUUUUCAAUGUGUUUGCUUUUCAGGGAGUAGGGAAAUAAUAGGGGGAUAGGGGGUCAUGCGUUAUUUUCAGGGAUUACAUCAUUAGAUAAAAUUUAUAGCAUGAAGGGCAUCGGGUCAACUAAAUUCGACAUCGCAUACUAAUUUCAAGGAACAUCUGUAGGAAUACUUUACUCCAACGACUUCCUUAAAAACUGAAAAUGAGUCAACCAAUUAAACUACCCCCUGACGAACGUAUUUGGCCAUUAAAACCGGAGGUUUUGCUUGCCAGAGGAAAAGGAGAGCUGCAAGCCAAGGAAGAAAAGGCCGUUCGUGGUGCUGUAAAAGAAGCUGUGGCCACUUACAAAAAUGAAAUUGUUUCGCUCGUGGAGAACAACAUGGAGGACAGGAAGCGCGCUGCCAAAAUGCUGGUCAAGUCGGCGGAGGAAGCCGAAGAAAUUCUAGUUAGGGAGUGCACUUAUGACAAAAAUAAGCGGCUGAAGUAUCGUGGAAAAUGUGCAAUAGAAACAUCUGAAAACAUCGACCAAGAAAUUGCUAAGCUGAACAACGUUCUUAACGACAUCUCAAACAAGCGGAAACAACGAACAAAAACACUUCUGGAUCAACAAAAGACGCUGGCGACGAUGCAGGUGGCGGAGGAGUACGGCGUCAACACCUUCCCGGAGGAGGAGCAGCAGUGCCGCCAGCUGGAGUGCAACCUCGAGAAGCUGGACCAGAAGCUGUCCGCGGCCGACAGGUGCCGACACAAGUAUCGGCAGUUCAUCAACACCCUGCAGGCGGAAAGAAAACUUAACGGACCGCGCCUAGAAAACCUCAAGAAAUGUAUCAAACAGGAUAUCUAUGAUUUGGAAGUGUGUCACGACAUCAUGAUGAAGGGACACAUUUUAUCACAAGACGCCUCUGGCAGCCUGGAGGAAGCAACUGAGACCUACACCAAUGAGAAGAAGGAUCGUGAUCAUGACCUGAAAAGUCUGAGAAAAGAAGUGCUCAAGAAGGCAGACCAGGCAAAAGGCAAAAAGGCGACGUUGACAGAAGUGAAUCUGGACAAGGUUCUGAAGGGCCAGCAGAACAUGUUCGCCCAGCUGCAGGAGCGCCGCAAAACAAUUGCAGAGCUGGAGAACUGGUCGUUCAACUUUGAGGCCCUACGUGAGGUCACCCGUGGCACCAAUAUGGCCGGCGUGGUCGCCAAGUUUGAGGGCCUGGUGGAGCGUCACACCUACCUGAGUAACGAACGAGAGCGGAUCGAGACGCAGCGCCAGGCGCAGUUACAGGCGCUGCAGGACCAGCAGGCGGUACUCUCCUCCGUGGGACACACGGGAGCUACCGAGCGGGAGGCACUGGACGGUCGUCUGGCCGAGCUGCAGAACCAGCUGCGCUCGCAGCAGGCGCGCCGUGACGCCGCCGAGGAGCAGCUGCACGUCCUGGGCAGCUCUCUGAGCGGCACUCGCGCCACACUGCGGCAGAUGCUGCGCGCGCUCAAAUUCGUCUCACGGCCGCAGGGGUGGAGUCGACGAACAGACCAGAAUGAGAUGGGUGCGUGCAAACCGGUGACCUGGAGCUGCUGCGUCUGAAGCUGAUCAGCCUGCAGCAGCGGUUCGUGGCGCUGGGUGCCCCUCUGCGGCCCGACUCUCAGCUGUCAGUGCGCUCAGAGGCCCUGGACGCGCCCAAGGCGCAGUACAGAGUGGGCCGGCAGGCACGGGAUUCGCUCAUCUCCGCAGAAAUGGGAAAAGUCGACGACAUGGAGCCAGUGAGGAUGGAAAUGAAAAACAUGUCCGAAGAGUUUGUCAAGAAGAUGACCAGCAGAGGACGUCGACCUCCAUAACGUGGCUAGAACAGCGCGAUUCGGGAUGAGCAGUGAAGUUUUGUUUGAUAUACCUACGUCCUUUGGUUGUUCACUACAAAAUCAAAUUUUGA
rnacentral:misc_RNA from 1 species